UUCGCUUCUCGGCCUUUAGGCUAAGAUCAAAGUGUAGUAUCUGUUCUUAUGAGCUUAAUAUCUGACCGUCUGAUACAUCGCGAUCUCACUAAGUCAAGUAAGCGCAACUGAUCUAUUAUAGUAAACAUUAUGCUACAUGGAUAGGUACACAUAUUUUCUUAUUCAAGUACCUACCCACCUAAUACCUAGGAACCUGGAUAGGUACCUACUUC
rnacentral:snRNA from 1 species